UAGCUAUUCAAUCUGAAUAUGGAUGAAUAGAAUUCACUGUAAUGAAGAAAAACUGCUAAUACCUUAGCUGUCUGCUAGGCUAAAUAAAUCAUGAUGCUUGCAUAAGACAUGCUAUAGUAUAGCCAUGAGUAAUUUUACAAAAUUAUACUUAUUCCUGUAUAUGGACAUUUGAUAUUUUAGCUCAUGGAAAGUAAGUAAAAACAAAAUUUAUGUACAAUAUAUUACAAAUUUAUAAAAACUGGGCGUGCACUCAAUACCCACAAGUCAUCUCAAAUGUCAACAGCAGAAAUUCAGUGAGUAUUUUUUAUUUUCUUAUUUCUGCAAUUAUCAUGUGUCUUGAACCUAGAUUUUUGUAAGAAAAGGUAUUUUAGAGAUAAUUAUAUGCUGUCUAAAUAGUUUAAAAAAUCAGAAGUGGGUAAAUUAUUUUGUUUCCCCCCAAUAUUUCAUUGUUUGUCUAGGAUUUGUUCAUUUACACAUGACAGAAGUGUUCUGGACAGACAGACGUGAGUUUAGUAAUACAAGGGCUACAGAUCUGAAAACCGAGCCUGCCUCAAGCACAUCCUAAUGACUGCACACAGGUCUGUCUAUACACUCCAGGGUAUCACAAAUACUGACUUGGGACACCAAAAUGAACUUUGCAAAACAGAUUUUGGAAAACUGGGGAAAAAAUGGUUCCUAAAUACAACGUGGUAGUCACGUAUGAUAGCUUGCAGUUGUAAUACCACCAGUACUUAAGAGUUUGAGGCUAGAAGAUUGCCUUAAGUUUGACGUUUGAGACCAGUCUGGGAUAUGCAGUAAUUUCUAGCUUAGCGUGAGCUACAGAGCAAUAUACCGUCUAACAUAACAAAUACAGCUUUCUUCCACUGAGCCAGUACCAAGCAUUGGUACUUGGAGUGACACAGCCUUUUUUUGUUUAAUGAGCCUUAGGAAAAUGUGCAUGAAGGGAGGAUGGCACAGAGAAGGAACUGAGGGGGGUGGUGGUGUCUAGGGACAAUAGGUAUUGAUGAGUGAGGUAGAGGAGAGGAUGGAAGUGGUUCGUUUCUGGAAUUUCUCACUUGUAGUCUAAUAUGGACUUAGAGAGCAAGAAAGCAAAUGUAGCCAGCAUGGGCUUCUCAGUUUCUUACUAAGGAAGCUAGAUGCCUAUGACAUAUUUGAUGAAUUAGAUAAAUAGGCCAACAAGAGAAGGACAGUGGCUGGACAGGCUGCAUUUCAGUUCCCUGUGCAUGGGCCAGAGUGUGCUGGUAGGACUUGGGGGUCUGAUCCCUUAACCCAGGCAUGUCUAAGAUGAUGGCCAAAGAGGCUUAACUAAUAGAAAUGGAUAUAAUGAGACCAGGAAUGAGAGACAUGAGGAAUUAACUGACGAUCAUGGAUCAAAAGGAAGCCAGUACCAGAACAGUGGUUCCAAGUAUGCCUUUCAAACAACAGUGGCUCCAAGCUGGAGGCAAGAAGCAGAGAUCAAAAUCAAAUGGCAAAGGAAUAAAAGAAGCCAGAGAGGAGGUGACAAUGAGCCCAACAGAGCAGAAUGUCCAGUGUUCUGCUCCUCGUGUUCAGUUAGUGACUUACAAGACCCAGACAGUUCUAAGGAUGAGCAUGGGGAGCUUCUACUAACCAAGCCAGCCCUUCCGACUUAAAAGAUCAAAUUGGGCUUGCUUGUCACUGUGGCACUUGCAGCUCAUACUGAAGCUGGGACAAUUUCAUGUCAAAAUGUUGAAUGUCUGUCUACAUGGAGAGGACUAGAAAGGGAAGGGUCAGGAGAUGGAUCAUGUCAAAUUCAGGGAAAGGUUUUCUCUGCUUGGCCAUUCAUUUUAUUUUUGCCUGGUCUGAUAGGAAUGUGAUAGCCAUUGAAUUUUGGUUCUAUUCCCUCAACUCUCGGUCUUAGGGUUUUAUUGCUGUGAAGAGGCACCAUGACCAAGGCAACUCUUAUAAAGGCAAACAUUUAAUUCGAGGCUGACUUACAGUUUCAGAGGUUCAGUCCAUUAUCAUCAAGGCAGGAAGCUUGGCAAUGUGUAGGCAGACACACAUCGAGGAGCUGAGAGUUCCACAUCAUGAUCUGUAGGCAGCAGAAGUGAACUGUUUUUCACAUUAGGUGGAGCUUGAGCAUUGAAGACCUCAAAGCCUGCCCCCACAAAGACACACUUCCUACAACGAGGCCACACAUACUCCAAAAAGAAAAAUCACACCUCCUAAUAGUGCCAUUCCCUAUAGGACAAGCAUUCAAACACAUGGGGCUAAGGGGGUCAUACCUACUCAAACCACUACAUCAACCUUCCAUGUAUUUACUUACUCUAUGGAUAUUUGAAAACCAAACACUGGAUUGGCCACUCAGGAUUCAGCAACAAGGAGCACAGAAGUAAUGACUCCCUCAAGGAAUGAUGGAGAUUAGUAACACUGUCUGGACUUUGGGAGCACUUUUCUGAAGAGCAUAACACUUAAGCCAAACACUGCAAGGAAAGGGAAUGCCUUUGUAAAUUGUACUAAGUGUUUCAUUUGUAUCCACAGGCUUAUUCACAGUGGUCACUUCCCAAAGGUGAAGUUACCAAGUAGCGAUGGAUUCUUCCAUGUGUGGACAAUGGCUAGGAUAUGGUAUAUGACACCUCAUGUUGGUUUCUGGAGUGAGACUCCAUUCUUACAAUUGUGAUUGUUAAAACUGUGAGGGUCAUAGUAGCUAUGUGAAUUCUAAAUCUAAGGGUUAAAAUCUGAGUUCCAUACAGUCAAAGAGAAAGUGAAGCGUAGUUAAGUGCACCAUGCUGAGUAUUGCAAGGCAAGUCAUACCAAAGCAAUCAGGACAGCCUAGGGCACACCAGCUCCAAACCUCAAUGGCUUGUCAUGACCGAGUUUGUUUCUUAUCUCAUAAGUAGGCUGCAGGCUGAGCAGCUCUCUAGGACAAUACGCUAUAGGGACCGGGAAGUCUAGCAGGCUUUUGAUGUGUAAUUGUGUCACGGUAAGGCUACCAUGUUGGCUGUAAAGGGAGAGAGAUCAGUUGAAAAAGACACUGUUGCUGACAACUCGUUGGCUAAGAGUAGUUCAAUAACUAUGCAUAGCUACAAGAGGCCCCAAAUUGUAGUGUUUCCUGGGGGAUCACCAUUUGUGACACAUGUACGAGGUACUCAAACUUCUAAGGCUGAAUUUCCAAAGAAUUCUCUUUUGUUUGGUUGUUUGUUUUUCUGAGACAGGGUCUCACUAUGUAGCUCUGGCUGUCCUGGAACUCCUUCUGUAGACCAGGCUGGCCUUGCAUUCACAGAGAUUUUGCCCUACCUGUGCCUCUCAAGGCCUGGACCUAAAGGUGUACAUCACUGUGUCUGGUUAAAGAACUCUUUUAUAUGGAACUUUAUUCAUGUAGGAUAACCAAGGUAUAAACUUGGUGUUGAGUGAAUUCAAAGGAAGAGCUCUUGGCUUAGUGACAUAGAGGGGUUUGAGUGGAGGAAGCUGGACACAAAGAGAGACUUGCAGGAUAAUGAGGACUUAGGAAGAAGGAAUAGCAGACCUAUUCUAUUAUAGGGACAUCGACUGCUGUGGAUCACCUGGUGCCUCAAGGGACCUGUUGGGAAAGCGGGUAUGGUAGUCAUACUGCAGGGGUCACAGGGAUUUUCUUUUUUUUUUUUUUUAGCUCAGUAAGUCUUUGGGACCAGAACAUUCCUGCCGCUGUCACUGGUAAGUCUUCUAUUUAGUGGAGCUGCUGAAAAGGCUUUUGAAAAAUCUUUAAUCAUGCUUUGAAGGAUUAUAAACACACAAAACUCAUAGCUCUGUUUCCCACACCUUUCAGAUGCAUACCUGAGCCAUAAGAUCUGAAGCCUUAAAUACUUCCUGGGGGUGCGGAGAAAUAAGGAAGUGAAUAAAAGCAAACUUUUCAAUCAGCUCAUCUCCGAGCGUUUAUCGUGACUUCUUGGCUUUUGGAAACAUUUAUUUCAGUUAUAUUAAAAAUUUUUUUCCUAAAAUUCUCAGCUGAAAAUUUUGCUUCUGUUUUUUUUUUUCCUUUCUCUCUCUCUUUUUUUUUCUUUCCUCCUACAAAGCUAACUCACCUGAUUUGUCAGAACAGCUUGAAAAUGAAGUGCUAACUGGUGGGUUUUAUUGAAAGGAAACCGAGUGGAACAACAUAUGUAUUUUCUUAGGGAACUCAAAAAGCUCACAGUCAUGUGGCGUUCCUUGGGGUGAAUUCUUUGUUAUGAAUUACAGUCUGCUCACUGAUGAGUUGUUAGUAAAAACGUAGGCCUGCCGGGCCAUUAUUUUUUUCCACACAGUACACACAGUUCAGUUUCCCCCCCUUUUUUUUUAAAGUUUUCAUUAAUGCACCGAGUGUGAAAUAAAUCUGUUUCUAAUUUGUCAUUGUUUUCCCUUCAUCUGGACAAUAAUUUAUUGCCAAAUCUAACACUUGUCCAUUAUUAACAUCCCUCUACCGGGGACGUGUUUUAAUUUUUCUUCCUUUCUUUUAUUUUUCUUACUUUCUUCUCCUCUUCGACUCCCCCUUGCCCACCAUCCCUAUUGUUAAGACUGGAAGAAGCGAAAAGUUACAGCAUGGCAGGGAUUUUGUUUAUGGGUGUGACAUCCGAGUCUGAGUUUGAGGGAUGCUGGGGGUAACUGGUGGGCACGUUGUGUGGAAGGAAGGGAAGCCAGCUGGAGUUGUUCGGAGCUGAGAAAACAGGCUCAGGGAAAACUGUUGAGGAAAACUAGAACCAGAUGGUAACCUGAGGUGCAGGACAACUUUAUUUAGCAUGGCAGUCUUUAUUUAUUUAUUUAUUUUACACACACAUCUGGUCACACUGGGGAGCCUCUAUGCACACUUGUUAUUAUGCUGUUAAUAGUAUAUUUGAUUUGCCAAGGAAUAUUAGCAAUUACGUUCACUAUGUAUCCGAGUAUAUUCAUAUUUUUAGUGGGCCUUUGUGAGGCAUGCUAGUGGUUAAGGCUUUAUGUGGGAAGGGCAGAGGAAUUGCUGUUUGAAGUUCUAGUGGUGUGGAAAAUGUGUCCAUCAAUUAAGGAUUUUAAAGAGGCUGAACCCCCCCAAGAACAUGCCAAAAUGUUGAUGAUAAAUAGCCAGCGGUGUGCUGCCAAUGCAUUCUUGAUUUCAGAAAUAGUCUAGAUUGUCACGGUGCACCCUCCAUGGGCUCAUUCAAGAUGAAGCCAUCUUGAUUUCUCUUGAAGUAAUGAGAAUGAAUAUAAGGAUGGGUUUGGACAUUUAACUUGUUAGCUCAUAUCUACCUUAUCCCUCAAAAUCUAAAACAAAUCUUAAAUUGGUGUGUAGAUAAGAUACAGUUUGUGACGGAAGUGAUAUUUUGAAAAAGAAAAAAAAACCUUUAUCACUUUCUUAUUUUACCAUCCAUUUCUUCAUUCUGAGUUUUGCCUUGAUGUGAUUACAGAAGUAUGUCAUUACAGAAGUAAUUCUCAAGACUUUAUUUGUAAGGUAAGGUAAGUGGGCUCUUACCUUACACUUAGUUGAUUUUGCAGAAUUGUGAGGUAAACCUCAAAUGAUCCUCUAGAAAUCUGAAUUGUCUUAUCUUCACUACCAGAGUUGGUUUCCCCAACCACUGGAGGCCCUUUAUGCAGAGAAACAUCAGCUGCUCUAAACACAUUGCUUGUCCUGACACUUGCAUUCCCUGACAAGGAAGACAGUGUGUAAGAAUGAGGUAUUAGGGCCAGGCCUUCCAGAUACAGCCUCACUGACCUAAGAGUCCCAGACCCUAAAACAGAGGAGAACUGCAAUGUGUCUCUGUGUGUAUAUGUGAAAAGGCAGGCUGUCUCAAGCCUAUUCUGCUGACAAGGAAGGGGACAUUGUCUAGAUAGCCUGUGCCUUUCAGAAAAUAGAGCAUCAUGAUAUUACACAGCAGAACAGAGACUAUUUGCAUCUGAAUUUUAGGGAUAUGAUUUCCGUUGUGGAGCUGGGAGUCAGCUGUAAGUAGGACAUGCCUGGCCACAGAACCUGGGACUGACUGUCCUUAUUAUGCAGCCUGGCCAUAGUGGUGUCACAGGAGGGGACCCUUGUUGGCUUCCUUUUGGACAGUAGAGGGUAGAAUGAGAGAGAACAAAAAAUACACAGCAUAGGAAGUUUGAUGCUAAAAUGUCACCCAAUGUCUUGUUUUCUCUCCAGAACUAGAGAUAUGUACAGAAAAAAAUUCCCUUUUUCAAUUCAGUCAAUAACUACUGAGGACCUACUAUGUGCCAGGUAGCCUCAGUUGCUCUCCUCCUUGGAGACUGUAGUUAUGCAUUAAAAGAAAUCUCGUGUUAUGGCCAACAGGUCACUCUCAUUUCAAGAAAGGGACUCUACAACUUAAGGAUUCCCAAGCCACUCUGAAGGCUGAGAAGCAGAGCUUCAGGCUUUGGGAUUGGUCUGACAGGUUGAAGUCCCAAUUCCCAGUUUGAAGAACAGGGAUGUUAAAGGAUGCGAUCUGGGUUAAAUGAGGUCACUGGGCUGAACUAAUCCAAUACAAGUGAGAUCAGAAGAGUUCCGGGUGCAGGCAAACAAAGAAAUGGCUGUGUGAUGACAUGAUGUCCUUAGUGUUGGGUUUCACUGAGAAGUCUUCAGCUGUGAGGGUGACUGAAGAGUUCCCCAGAGAUUUGCAUUUGCUCCUUCAGAGGGUAGCACUCCCUGGCACCACAGGCCAGCAGAAUGCUGAAGUUUCAAACCUCCGAGUGAACUUGGCAUCGCUCACCUCAGUCUCAGAUACAGCAGAGAUGGGAGUGGGGACCAUCUCAACCGAAAGUGAAUGCAAAUUACCCCGAGACUUAACUGCUCCAGAUGGAACCCACAGGAGGCCCUUAGCAUGGACCGGUCCCAGAGGCUGCUGGCCAAAUGCAAGGAAUCCCAGCGCUUGAGCACAGUCCUUGGAGAGCACUUGAGCACAAAUUAUUUUUAUGACCACAAGUAAUGAUUGAGUUAGAGGCAUUAGAACAUUUAAAGUGAUAUUCACAUGUAAAAAUCUCCAACCAUGUAUCUCUAAAGAAAAUAAGGUUGGAGUAAAGCAAACCACAUUUUGUUUAUCACAAAAAUUUUAACAGCAGACUUAUCAGCCAAUUGUUGGAGAAGUGAAAUAGUCUUUAGUGGUAAUUUUUGUCCUGACCAUUGACUUUCUCUCAAUAGUAGAGCAGGCUUCAAAGUGUUAGUGUGUUAUUUACUAUAGAGUGGUCAAGGGUGCUCUGAGGAGGUCUAAGGAUGCCCUGGAGUCUACACAAUGUAUGCCUGUCACUGUUCCUGAGGCAGAGCUCACGGCAUUCAUGAUACCAUCAGGAGCGCCCAGGCAUCUCUUACUUCUCUCAAAAUGUUUUCAUCAUGACUCUCUUCUGCCUUUGUCGUACUUGCUGGUUCACCUUCUUUCUCUAACUGUUCAUUGAAUUUUGGCUUGGACUACCCUUCCUAAGGAUACACUUCUGCUGAUUUAAAUGCUAUUUCUCCUGCUUCAUGCAAGGAGAAUAAGGGACCAGGAUACUUCAGUUGAUGCUAUAAGAUAUUGAACUACAUUGAAAAAAUAGUUCAUUUAUUCUUUGGCUUACAAAACACUUCAGGAUUUUUGUAUCGAAUUGAAGUUUCAUUCAUUUUCAUUCCCCAAAACAGUAAACAAGGGGUUACUGUGAAGUUUCUUUUUUCUUUCAUUCUUCCUUCUCCUCCUCCUCUCCCUCCUCCUUUCCUUUUCCCCCUCUUCCUCUUCCUCUUCCUCUUCUGCUUCUUCUUCCUCCUCCUCCUCCAAAGGCUGAUGAUUGAACUUGGAGGCUUCCACUUUUAUAUCCUGGGGAAACAUUCUACUGCCAAGCCAUGUUCCUAGCUGUGGAGUUUGGUUGCCUUUGUGAAGUACAGUGAGUGGAAUUAAAGGAGCUUCCAGUGUCGAAAAGAAACGACUUCCAUCCUGUGUGUGUCUCGCCAAUACAGUUACAUCUCUAAUUUUAGGAAGACUGAGAUAAUUCUACAUAUGCGUUUUCUCUAGGUCCAUAGAUGCUCAGUAUUCACAAGGAUGCUCUUCUUGAAUUCAGGGAUGGUGGGAUUUCAGGUGCUUGUCUUACUUUUAGAACUACCUGAUAACAUUUUUAUAUAUUCCAGUGGGAGAUACCAAGGUACACAAACAAUAUGGCACAAGUGUAGAUCUGGUGUAUUAGAAACACACAAGAUAUGUGGAAAAUAGGAUGAUAUGGAAUAUGAGGAAACAGAGUGGUGAUAAGGACAGAUCUACUGGCUACAUCGCAGUGAGUAAGCAUUGACUAAGUGUGUCAGCUAAGUGCAGUGUGAUGGAGACUUCCCCUCACUUAUGAAGAUGAGAUCAUCUAAGGAACAGGGAUGAUAUAUUCAGUUGUCAGAAAGACAAUGCUAGAUUUCUAUCAGAAGAUGCUGGGCCAGAGAGAUGGCUCAGAGGUUAGAAGUGCUGCCUGUUUUCCCAGAGGUCCUGGGUUCAAUUGCCAGCAACCAAUCACUUGGUGGCUCACGACCAUCUGUAAUAAAAUCUGGUGUUGAGGCAUAUGUGUAAGCAGAACACUAUAUACAUAGUAAAUAAAGUUUUUUUUGUUUCAUUUUGUUUUUUGUUUUUGUUUGUUUUUUUUUUUGAAAAGAAAAGAAAGAAGAUGCCAUCUGUGUGGAAUAGAGCCAGAAAAAAAAAUCCAUUAAAUACAGACUGAGUGCUUGACAACAUCCUCGGAAUGUGCAGACAAGCCCACAGCUAUGAAGUUAUGAAGAGUCUUGCUUUCUUUACCUUCUGAACAUUGCUAUGUCUGGUCUUUGAGUGAUAUAUGUGGACACAUUAAGGUUUGUGGAGCUGUAGCAACAGAGGAUUGACUAUUUCCCCUUGAUUCUUCCAGAUACCCAAAAGGAAGUCUUUACAUAGGACAACUGUGGUCAGCCUGGAGCAUAGACACAGGGUGGGAUUCAGAGCUUGAGAUAACAGUGCAGAGAGAUUCUUAGGACACAGGCAGGGAUGGUUUCUUUUCCCUUAGGGUGUUCAGUGGCCCAUCUACACAAGAGAGCAGUUCGAGAGUUCUCUCCUUCUCUGGGUCUCUCUCCUCUCUCUCUGUCUGUUUCUGUGAAUUGCAUAACAGAGUAGGUACUAGUCAAUAACAGAAAUGUGCAUCUGGGAGAUUUUGCCUCCCCGUCCACAUUUCCAUACAAGUCUCUGAAUUUAAUCCUCUCCUCUCCUUACUCAUGUUGUUCUCUUUCCACUUAAUUCAGUUAAUGGCUUUGGCUUGUAUUUGCUUUUCAAUACAUUUCUCCCCUUUGAAUCCCUCCUCCUGAUCACCGUCUAUUUCUCUUUAGUUUCUUGUUUCUCUUCUUUAACCACGUUUUCCAAACUCCCUCUCAUUUAUUCAGUGAAGCCAGUUUUAAUAAUAUUUUCUGUCAUUUCAUUCAUGCAGAAUCUUUUUUAAUGCAAUGAAGAGAGCUGAGAGUUCUACUUUAUAAAUCCCUCUCCACAGAGUAACCAGGAUUGCCAGCGAAGAAGUCGAAAACAAAGUGCAGUUUGAUUGAUGGGUAGGAUUCAGGCUGUAGGGAAACUGCGCUGUGUAAAGUGUGGGGCUGAAAGCAAUGUGUUUAUGCAUACACAAGUUUUAAUAAAUAUUCCUACCACAUCUUAAAAA